GAAGGUCCCCCACAUGGGAACUGAGACACCGUCCCAACUCCUACGGGAGGCAGCAGUGAGGAAUAUUGGUCAAUGGCCGGAAGGCUGAACCAGCCAAGUCGCGUGAGGGAAUAAGGCCCUACGGGUCGUAAACCUCUUUUGCCAGGGAGCAAUGCCGUCCACGUGUGACGGGAAGGAGAGUACCUGGAGAAAAAGCAUCGGCUAACUCCGUGCCAGCAGCCGCGGUAAUACGGAGGAUGCGAGCGUUAUCCGGAUUUAUUGGGUUUAAAGGGUGCGUAGGCGGCCUGCCAAGUCAGCGGUAAAAUUGCGGGGCUCAACCCCGUACAGCCGUUGAAACUGCCGGGCUCGAGUGGGCGAGAAGUAUGCGGAAUGCGUGGUGUAGCGGUGAAAUGCAUAGAUAUCACGCAGAACCCCGAUUGCGAAGGCAGCAUACCGGCGCCCGACUGACGCUGAGGCACGAAAGUGCGGGGAUCAAACAGGAUUAGAUACCCUGGUAGUCCGCACAGUAAACGAUGAAUGCUAGCUGUCCGGGGGGAUUGACCCCUGGGUGGCACAGC
rnacentral:rRNA from 1 species